rnacentral:misc_RNA from 1 species
GUUGAGUUGAGUUGAGUUGUUGAAUUUCAACAUGGGAAGUCUUAAAAAUGAAAACUUCUGAUUCUUCAAAUUGCAUUUCUUGCUCUUUGUUAUGAAAUUCUUGCCUUGCAUCCGGUUGGGUUGUAAUUACAUUUUCAAGAACUCUUAAAUUUAAUAUUGCUUCUAGCUUAUAAAAAGUUUCUUCAAGGCACUUCUUACCUUUUUCUUGAGAUCAAAAUUUUAAGUCAGCAUCGUAAGCCAAAUAAUUAGAAUUUAUUUGUGGCUGAAUAAAUAAGUUAUGUAAAACAUGUAUUGGUUCUUCCAUUAUUCAAGUUCUCUCUCCCGAACUUGUAAAAGUUGUUGACAGUUCAAAAUUCAUAUAAUAAGUUAGAAGGACAAAAUUCAUUACCACCUCUCAUCUAAUUGUACCAUGUGAGAAUUGAUUUCAGCUUGUAAUCUUUGAAUUUCAACCCACAUUGGAUCUAGUUAUCAAGGGAGACAUCUUCAAAGGCACAAGGAAAAAAUGUAGCACCAUUUUUUUUUGGUCCAUGUCAGAGUUGCCCAACUUAACAUGAUUGAGUCUUGCAGUUGUAUACCACUAGAAAAGCUCUUCCUUUGUAAAUUGCAAAUCACGUUGACCAAAAAUCACGUUGCUACAGUGGAUAAAAACAGCCACACUAUCGAGGGAGAGAUUAAGAAAUCAUGGUUGAACCUCUGAGGGACCAAUUUGAUGUAGAACCAAUAGAAAACUCUAUGGAAAAGAAUCAAAACUCACAAAAUUAAAUUAAUUAUCAGUUGUCAAUAAUAGUAAUUCUCUCUAGAAAAAUACCUAAAUUACAUAGGUAUUUAUAAUAUCUCAAAAAAAGAAAUGCUAAACUAACAUUAAUUAUUAAACUAAAUUAUACAAACUCUUAAAUAAAUAAAAUAUUACUACUUAAUUAAUCUUCUUCUUAAAAUAUGUGGACCUAAAAUUUCUAGUAGUAGAACUGUAGAAAGCCUCAAAUCACUAGCAUAAUGAGAAGGAGGAAGGAAGAAGUGUUAUGGGAAGAUGAACAAACUUGCUUAGAAAGAA